AGCGAACGUUAGCGGCGGGCCUAACACAUGCAAGUCGAACGCGAAAGGUCUUCGGACUGAGUAGAGUGGCGCACGGGUGAGUAACACGUAGGUAAUCUACCCUUUGGCGGGGGAUAACGUUCCGAAAGGAGCGCUAAUACCGCAUAAGGCCACGGAGUCUCCGGACGCUGUGGGAAAAGGUGGCCUCUUCUUGAAAGCUAUCACCGAAGGAUGAGCCUGCGUCCCAUCAGCUAGUUGGUAAGGUAAUGGCUUACCAAGGCGAAGACGGGUAGCUGGUUUGAGAGAAUGAUCAGCCACACUGGCACUGGAACACGGGCCAGACUCCUACGGGAGGCAGCAGUGAGGAAUAUUGGGCAAUGGGCGAAAGCCUGACCCAGCCACGCCGCGUGAGUGAUGAAGGCCCUCGGGUCGUAAAGCUCUGUGGAGAGGGACGAAAACCCUGGUUUCAAAUAGGCUCCAGGCUUGACGGUACCUCUUUAGCAAGCACCGGCUAACUCUGUGCCAGCA
rnacentral:rRNA from 1 species